CAGCGGCACUGACCAUAUGAUCCCACAGAUCGACGAGCAAGGCUUCAGAUGAUGAAAGUUAGCACGAUCAUCAGUUCCAAAGAUCAGCUGAAGAAUCGGAAGAGGAAAGGAAUUCAAGAACUUAUUCCUUAUCAUAGUCACCUUGGCUAAUGGCUGCUGUCUAAGAAGGAUCUAGCUAUUAGCAUUGUGUGGGUUUAUUUGUGCAUCUGCUCUGAAUUUGACAUCUUGAAUGCUAGACAGCAGCAUGCAAGAACAACCUCGCUUUUUUAAUAGUUUUUUUUAGAUCUACUUUGCUGAUAACAUGGUAUGUGCUGCUUUACAGACUCUUGUCUGUCAGGUCUUUUGAUUUUCUGUGGUAGGAUAGGAUUUUUGUAAAGCUUAUUCGGAUUUCACUGCCAACAAUUGAAAUUCUGACGAUCUUUUUUUUCAAACCAUCUUUGGCAUGCCAGAAAAUCCUCUGAUGCCAGCAUUACAAAGCAAUCAACAGUGGCAUGAAAGACAUUGCAUACGUUUUACAAAAAUCAGCAUACCUUUGUAUACAAUUGAAAUGAAAUAGCUUGUGAGAGCACUCUGAACAUUUCUGACAGCGCUCCAGCUGGGAUCUCACACAGAACACAGAUAAAUCCACAGCUGAUGGGGUAAGGUGCAGAGUUUAAAAUGGUUUGUACUAUCACGAAGAUCACCUGCUUAGCUUUUGGAAGAGUACAAAAAUAAAAUGUGUAAGUAAAGGCAUGUCUGUAGCUUCUGUGCAAUCUGAAGACAGAUUUAUAUCCAAUCCUUUGCUAGUUCAGGCUAUGGUGAGAAAAUUAUUGCUAUAAGACUGCUCCUGACAAAACUCAGUAAUGCAGGGAUUCAUUUUUAAUAAAAGGUUUCAAGAACUAGGGAGAGUAGCACUGAACCAAUUCAGAGCCAUGAAAUUCUGCUACUGUCUUUGUAACCUUGCAACCUCAAAGCAUAUGUUGUUCUGUACUCACUGGAGCACUGCCCUGCGAGACAAAUGGAUAAAAGUAUAAUUUUGUGCUUAGUUCAGCCCAAAUUGAAGGUUUUCAGUUUUACUGGGAUUAUUGGCCAUUUGUCAAUGUAUUUUCCAACCUCGGGGACAAUCGUUUAUGAAUGUUCUGUUAUAAUUCGCCAAUUAAAAAUUCUGGAGGUUGUAAUUUUAAUGUUCCUAAUGUAUAUGGAAUUUAUUUGUAUUGAUUGCUCAUAGAUUUGCUUUCCUCUACCUGUUAAAAUCAUUGUCUUUCAACUAGCCUUUUCUCCUUCCUGUCUUUAAAUUUAUAUUUUCCAGUAAUUUGCAGUAGUAUGUUGGGAAGUUCAAUUUACAUGCACUUAAAUUUUGCAACACAAUAACAUGUUCUUUGAUUACAAGUCUCAUUUCAGCAUUUUUUUCUUGAACAAAACUACCUUUAUGUUAAACAUGCAGGUUUAUCGGUGUUUUAGAAAUUCCAUUGAGGAACAUUUUUGCGACAGACCGAGCAAUUCAACUCACACAAGGGUACAUAGAGUAAGCUGGGGAAAGCACUGUACAGAUGGUAGACAUUGCAAAGGCUGAUUGCUGUUAAACCCACGACUCUAAAAGAACAAUCAGAAUUAAAACACAAGUUAUAAACUGGUUUAAAAGCUUGGCACCAAAAUGUUUUCGAUUGCUUCUAUCCUGAAAUGGCACAUCCUGCGAAGAAUUGAAUACUGACGUAAAAUAAACUACAUUAGGUUGUUUACCUAAUACUAUCACCAAGACUCAAAUACAAAUCCGAUCGCCGUACAUUAAAGCCGAAUAAAACCAUUGUAGAACAUUCCUGUUUUUCCAAUUAAUUUCCAAACCCACACCAAAGAAUUCCCUCUUAAAGCUGCUUUUUAUUUUCCUGGAUAUACCACCCUCUCCAACAAAUACACACAUGCCUUCUUUGCUCUCUGAAUUUUACAAUUUUACUAUUCACUGGCAUACUACCAGUUAAUUCUUGCUUUACUUCCAAAACAUAAAUCUGUAUAUUUAUGUUAAAUAUUGUGUACUGUAACAUUCAAAAUUGUAAAUAUAUAACUUAGGAGUGCUGUUUGAAAUAUUACAAAGCAACUGUUAGUAUGAUUCACUUUAUAUAUCUGUGAUAUUAGGAAAAGCAAUCAGACUAAAGUAAAUCAGACUAUUAAAGGCAUAAAAUAAUUUUCACUCCUUAUUAUUCAGUCCCAGUGUGAAGCUCUUUGAGACAUCCUUCUGACGCAAAAAGCGCUAUAUAAAUAUAAAUUGUUGUUAGAAUGUCAUGGGAGUAAAAAUAGCUAUUUAAAGUCUUUCUAUUAUGUAGGACUUCUUUUUUAUUGCCUUAUUGUUAUUAUCUCACAACCUAGAUUAUUUCAUUAAAGUACCUUUCACUGUGCUAGUCUGUUUUUUGCUCCCAAAAAUAUCAAACAUUAUUCUGAAGAGCAUCACCUUGUACCAUACCAUUGUCAAAGGUUAACUACAUAAAUGAAUCCUGAAAGCACACUUCUACACAUACAACCAAUGAGAGUCAUUGCAAUAACGAGGGUUUGGGAAAAUAAACAGAUAAAUGUCUUUAAAACAAAUGUUAAAAGUCGAGUUUAGCCAAGAAAAGUACUUUUAAGAGUUUUUUUUACAACUAAUAUAGUGCACAGAUAUGUUUCUAAUAUUUGAUUAGCAAUAGUCAGGUGUCUGUUUACAUAAUUUCUGUGUAUUAAUAAUAGCACACAAUACUUGUGAUGUACUUUGUUAACUUCAUGGCUCAAUUUGUCAUUAAAACAAACUUGGAAGGAAAAUAUACUUAGAAUUAGACUGAAGGCUACAGGGCAACUAUUUGCCAAAGUUCAGAGAGUAGCAUAUGGGGCUGUGACAGCAAUGGAUAUUGUAAUUCUUAUUUGUCCUUCUGAUUUUUUUUAUGACAGUAACAAUAGAUUGUGCUGUGUUGUGCUGACUUUCCCAAUCACUGACACAAGCUGUUUAGAAUUUUAAAGGAAUUUGUGCACUGAAAUUAGAUCGACACUUACAUGAGCUGAGAGGUGGGAGCUUUAGGAAACUUUGGAACUAUAGUACUAUGAAUUGAGCGUAUCAGGGGCCAAAUUUCUCAAGUACUUAGGCUUAAGACAUUAAGAUUUUAAAUCAUGCAGUACAUUUUGGGAAAUGAUCUUAGAUUUGGUAUUAAAUUCAGUCUUAAUUUUCAAGUCAAAUUUUGGCAGUACAGUACUCAAAAAGAUUGUCUUCCAAAUUCAGUCUGAAUGUAAUGAUCUUAAGGCUAAGAGCAUGAGAAAUUUCGGAUCCUGUUGUCUCUCUUUUAAGUGAUCACCUUUUAUAUACUUGCUGGUGUUACUGGCAUUAUUUUAGGCAUACAGUAUUUUAUUUUUAUUUCUUUAUGUUAGUGGUACACCAAAAGGACUUUGCUAAUGAAUUUUCAUUUCUUCAAAUAUAUAAUUCUUGAUUCAAAAACGUUGUAUAUGACAAAAUCACAAAAAGCAUAAGCGUUGUGCAGUCUGUUUGGUGAUCAGUAGAGUUGUAUUCACUUUCUGUGCACAUAUGAUUCAAUGUGCAGUCUCGUAUUUGUUAUCCUUGUAAAGAAUAUGUUCUCCUGUGAAUAUUUAUUCUUUUUUGUAACUUUUAUUGAGCAAAUAUAUUGUGUGUGCCCUGCCAAGUCUUUAAAAAGUGAGGUAAAAAUGUACGCCCCUUUAAGACAACAGGAACAAAAUUCGAGAGAAUAUCUUACAUAUUGGGUUCUGAAUGUCUCCCCACGGACAUUUACGUAGAGAUCAUUGUAUAUUUAUGCUAUGCUGCCUUGUAAAUUCCUUGAGCACUAGGGUGAAUGCAAGUAUCCCAAAUAUGUCUCUGUGAUGUGUUGUUCAAAGCAACUGCAUAUGUAUGCUUCAAUGAUAUUGCUUUUUGUAUGAUGCAUCUAUUCAAAUCCAUCUCCUUUGACAAGUGCAGCAGUUUGGUACAGAAACAAAAAUGUACAUGAAAUGUAAACAAAUGACACAAACUUUAAAAAAAAUCCUAGAAUGUAGUAACAUAGAAUAAAUGUUGCAUUAUUUGUUUCAAAUUGUAUGUAAUGUAUGAUUGCAGAUGUUACCGAUAUGUCCUUCUGUAACUGUUCAUUUCUUGUUACGUGGGAAUAAAUAAAAUAUAGUACAUCUGA